rnacentral:rRNA from 1 species
AACGAACGCUGGCGGCAGGCCUAACACAUGCAAGUCGAGCGAAGCCUUCGGGCUUAGCGGCGGACGGGUGAGUAACGCGUGGGAACGUGCCCUUUGGUACGGAAUAGCCCCGGGAAACUGGGAGUAAUACCGUAUGUGGUCGAGAGACGAAAGAUUUAUCGCCAAAGGAUCGGCCCGCGUUGGAUUAGGUAGUUGGUGGGGUAAUGGCCUACCAAGCCGACGAUCCAUAGCUGGUUUGAGAGGAUGAUCAGCCACCAUGGGACUGAGACACGGCCCAGACUCCUACGGGAGGCAGGAGUUGGGGAUCCUAGACAAUGGGGGAAACCCUGAUCUAGCCAUGCCGCGUGAUCGAUGAAGGCCUUAGGGUUGUAAAGAUCUUUCAGUGGGGAAGAUAAUGACUGUACCCACAGAAGAAGCCCCGGCUAACUCCGUGCCAGCCGCCGCCGUAAGAC